GAGGGCGCUUUAGCUUCUGACGCCACAAGCAGCAGCGUCUCUGCUUAUAGAGCUAGAGAGGACGAAACGUGUGAUUAAAAACGACCGCGUCCUGUCCGAGCUCCGCGAAAGGCAAUCGCUCCGCCGUCCCCGUGGAACACGCACCAGUUUGCACGGAUUUUGGCAGGCAAGGCUGAGUUCUUGCCAAACAUGGGAAAGCCCGGAACAAGUGUUAGACUCAGCAAAAUCAAGUCCGGACGCGUCGUCUCCCUGAUACCGUCCGCUUCUCCCUUGAUGAUGGGCAUUCACAAGUCGUACAAGAAAGCGCCGUUCCUUCGUCGUCACAUUCGGCCCAGCAUCGUAGUGCUGGCUCCCCGAUUCACCCCGACAAUGUCAGCUGUUAUCAAAUCAUCGAGGAGGCAGAUCUGAAGCAGCAAUUUGCGACCAUAAUUCUGCAUACAACGCGUGCUCUGCUAAUUAAUUGGAACGAUGGUGCGCGCUGUUCAAGCCUGCAUAACACAUCCAUCCAGUUGACGCAUGCUCGUCUCGUCUGCGUUUUUCCAGUCGCUGUCUUUCGGACACUACAUCAGCACAAUUCCAUUAUGUUCAAUGCAUUUGGCAUCGGCAUGAACGUAAAUGGUCUGUAAAAUGCAUACAGUCUCGCUAAUAAUUUGGGCACUAUGGGAGCGCGUGGAAAAUUUGAUGUAGGAGCCACGCCGUCUGCAGCGUUGUGCUUGCUGUGGAGUGUUGCGGUGCGCAUGCGCGUCCAUCCUUACUCGCGGGCCUGCUCGAAUCGCGCCGGAUCGAACGAAAGAGCAGGACAGCGAGUAAGGAGGGACGCGCAUGCGCACGGUUACACGCGACAGCAGGCAUCACGUCCCUAGGCGCGCGCACGUGCCAUUUGCCACGUGCUCUCAUAGUCUUAUCAGCCCGACUGUAUGUAUCAGGACCCAUUCCAUGACCUUUUAC